AGCAGAAGCCUUAGAGCGUCUAAAAGCCCUACGCCGAGGUGGUCGUAGAUCUGAGAAUGGCGGCGGAUACGACGUCAAGGUGGAGACUCCGAUAUAUGACACAGUAUCUGAGGAUGAUUAUGACAAGCUCGUGGCACGCCGUCGGGAGGAGGCCCAAGGCUUCAUUGUCGAUGACGAUGGCCUCGGGUAUGGCGACGAGGGCCAAGAGGAGGACUGGUCCCUGGCUGGCCUCCCUCCAUCAUCUGAUGAAUCGGAUGGCGGCGAGCCAAAUACGAGACCAAAAAGGAAAAAGACAGAAAAGAAAGAGAAAGAGACGCAACAAAAGAAGGUUAAUUCUUCAUUAUCAGCGGCGGCGGCAAUGAUGGGGAAACAAAGAAUAUCGGCGAUGUUCACCUCGACGGUGUUUAAAAAUAAGGAUUCUGGUAAGGUUAAGAGUUUGGAUUGUGAAAAUAUCGUUGAUGAUGUUAUAGCGGAGUUUGCACCUGACGAGGCUGAUAGAGAGAGACGCAGAAGGGGCCAAUUGACUCUGAAGAAUUUCGCGCCAAUUAAGACCGAGGAUCAGGUUCUUAGC
rnacentral:misc_RNA from 1 species